AACGAACGCUGGCGGCAUGCCUAACACAUGCAAGUCGAACGAGACCUUCGGGUCUAGUGGCGCACGGGUGCGUAACGCGUGGGAAUCUGCCCUCUGGUUCGAAACAACAGUUGGAAACGACUGCUAAUACCGGAUAAUGACUUCGGUCCAAAGAUUUAUCGCCUGAGGAUGAGCCCGCGUAGGAUUAGCUUGUUGGUGAGGUAAAAGCUCACCAAGGCGACGAUCCUUAGCUGGUCUGAGAGGAUGAUCAGCCACACUGGGACUGAGACACGGCCCAGACUCCUACGGGAGGCAGCAGUGGGGAAUAUUGGACAAUGGGCGAAAGCCUGAUCCAGCAAUGCCGCGUGAGUGAUGAAGGCCUUAGGGUUGUAAAGCUCUUUUACCCGGGAUGAUAAUGACAGUACCGGGAGAAUAAGCCCCGGCUAACUCCGUGCCAGCAGCCGCCGUAA
rnacentral:rRNA from 1 species